AAUAGAUAACGCCAUUGACUUUUUUUCACAUGUUUGACCAUUCGUCUUAUUUAAAAAAUUUACAUAAUUAUAAUUUAUUUUGUUAUGAGUUGUUUAAUUACUCAUAGUACUUUAAGUGUGAUUUAUAUCUAUAUAUUUGCAUAAAAUUUUUGAAUAAGACGAAUGAUCAAACAUAUGAAAAAAAGUUAACGGCGUCAUCUAUU
rfam:Oryza sativa Japonica Group DNA, chromosome 6, cultivar: Nipponbare, complete sequence.